GAUGAACGCUAGCUACAGGCUUAACACAUGCAAGUCGAGGGGAAACGAUAGAGAAAGCUUGCUUUUUCUAGGCGUCGACCGGCGCACGGGUGAGUAACGCGUAUCCAACCUGCCCAUCACUUGGGGAUAACCUUGCGAAAGUAAGACUAAUACCCAAUGACGUCCAUAGAAGACAUCUGAAAGGGAUUAAAGAUUUAUCGGUGAUGGAUGGGGAUGCGUCUGAUUAGCUUGUUGGCGGGGUAACGGCCCACCAAGGCGACGAUCAGUAGGGGUUCUGAGAGGAAGGUCCCCCACAUUGGAACUGAGACACGGUCCAAACUCCUACGGGAGGCAGCAGUGAGGAAUAUUGGUCAAUGGGCGAGAGCCUGAACCAGCCAAGUAGCGUGCAGGAUGACGGCCCUAUGGGUUGUAAACUGCUUUUAUAAGGGAAUAAAGUGAGCCUCGUGAGGCUUUUUGCAUGUACCUUAUGAAUAAGGACCGGCUAAUUCCGUGCCAGCCGCCGCAGACA
rnacentral:rRNA from 1 species